GACGAACGCUGGCGGCGUGCUUAACACAUGCAAGUCGAACGGUGAAGCGCCUUCCUUUUUGGUGGGUGUGGAUGAGUGGCGAACGGGUGAGUAACACGUGAGUAACCUGCCCCCUUCUUCUGGAUAACCGCAUGAAAGUGUGGCUAAUACGGGAUAUUCUGGGUCUGUCGCAUGAUGGGUCUGGGAAAGAUAUUGUUUCGGUGGGGGAUGGGCUCGCGGCCUAUCAGCUUGUUGGUGGGGUGAUGGCCUACCAAGGCGGUGACGGGUAGCCGGCCUGAGAGGGUGGACGGUCACACUGGGACGGAGACACGGCCCAGACUCUUACGGGAGGCAGCAGUGGGGAAUAUUGCACAAUGGGCGCAAGCCUGAUGCAGCGACGCCGCGUGAGGGAUGGAGGCCUUCGGGUUGUGAACCUCUUUCGCCAGUGAAGCAGGCCUGCCUCGUUUGUGGGUGGGUUGACGGUAGCUGGAUAAGAAGCGCCGGCUAACUACGUG
rnacentral:rRNA from 1 species